UAAUUAGGUCUUUCCACCUUUCAGUGGAAAGACCUAUUGGAUUUCUUCUGAUUAUUAUUAUUAUUAUUAUUAGGUCUUUCCACUUUUCCGUGGAAAGACCUAUUGAAUUUGUUCUGAUUAUUAUUAUUUUUUUCUUCCGCCUAAAUUUUUUUUUGCGUAGUAUUGAUGUUUCAAAAGAUGUCGCUUAGAUAUUUGAAAUAUGUUGUCGUAUAGUUUAUACGCUUUAAAAAUUUACAACUGCAUAACAAAAUACU
rnacentral:lncRNA from 1 species